rnacentral:rRNA from 1 species
UACGAAGGGUGCAAGCGUUAUUCGGAAUGACUGGGCGUAAAGAGCGUGUAGGCGGUUCUAUAAGUUGUUCGUUAAAGCCAGCGGCUUACCCGUUGAUUCGCGGACAAUACUGUAGAACUCGAGUGCGAGAGAGAGGGGUGGAAUUCUAGGAGUAGCGGUAAAAUGCGUAGAUCUCUAGAGGAACACCGAUGGCGAAGGCAGCCCCUUGGCUCGUUACUGACGCUGGAGCGCGAAAGCGUGGGGAGCAAACAGG